UUUUGACCUCGGAUCAGGUAGGGAUACCCCUGAACUUAAGCAUAUGAACCUUAAGCAUAUCAAUAAGCGGAGGAAAAGAAACCAACAGGGGAUUGCCCUAGUAACGGCGAG
rnacentral:rRNA from 1 species